CUUUCCUGCUGCCUUGUGAAGAAGGUGACACUUCCCCUUUCGCAAUGAUUGUAAGACCUCCCCACCCAUGCAGAACUGAGGUGAUAACUGGAAGAGAGCAGAAAGGGAGCAUCUGGGAUACUGCUCUAAGAGCAGGACUGCCAUAUGAGGAUGCAGAGACUGUGCCUUGUGAAACUCCAGGGGCACCAUUCAUACAAGCCAACUGGACUCCAAGUGCCACGAGAACAGAGAUUGGGUCUGGUCCCCAGCUUCAGUGCCUCCAAGGCAGAAACUCAAGAGACGUUGUUGAACUGUCAGCCUUUACAUUUAUGCAUUACUAUUGAAGGCCUGGAAUAAAUGGAUCGUGUUUUACCUGUUAUCUUGCUCAUCUCUAUUACUGCUUCAUCAGCAGCUCUUCCCAAAGCAAUAAAAUGAACAAUGGCCCCACUUUGUUUCACUUCAUCAAUACAAGAACUUGCAGUGUUAUCCUCCCCAUCAGUCAGCAGCAGUACUUCGGAUCCAUCGAGUUGGGAAUGUAGCUCUCCAAUCACCUGCAAACAUAAUGCAGAGCACAGUUACCAACAGAUGUUCCUAGAUCAAAUAGACAAAUGGGAAAUGAGAAAAAAUUUACAGAGAAAAUAAACAAAGUUAUGCAGAAUAGAAGAGAUAACCUCUAUUUUAAAAUAAAGAAUUUUCAAUCAACAAUCCUUGGGGAAAGUUAAACAUGAAUUUUUUUAACUCCCAGCUGCAGGUAGUAUUUAUUUAAAGGAAUUCGGUGGGACCAGGCUUUGGAAAAUCCUGUCUAGACUAAAUGACAAUAACAUCUCAACCUGGGAAACUCAGGUCAACCAGAUACCAAAGGUAUAAUCACAGUAUGUGACAUUAAUUAGUGUUAUGUUUUCUUUGACUGGACUACCUUCUGACAGACAAGCCUUCAGUUUAUAAAGUCUCUUGCAUUUAAAGCUAGAUGCAUUAAGAAUCCACUUCAACAUUUGAAAAAGUCAGUGAUUACAAAUUAGUAAACCCUCAGUAUGCUUAUAAAGAAAAAAUAUGGAAAGUUCUAAGCAUGUGGUUAGGGACUUUGUUAUGCAACUUUCAUUUACUUCUAAUAAUAACUGGCACAGAAGUAAGCAUAUUGGUGAUGCUUAAAGAAUAUAUUAAAAUUAUACUUAUUAAGUUCAAUUUGUAGCUUGUAUCCUUUUCCUAAAUGCCAAACAGUUUGAAACUCAAAGUUUUGAAACUAGGUGCCUGUAAAAGAGUAUAGAGAGAAGUUAGCCCAGGAUGACAACAUAUUUCAUUUUCUUUGACAGUUUUAAUUGGUGGUGGCAUCUUGGAGCACCAUUUUGAGACCUUGAUUCCAGGCCAAGAGGUGAAAAAUGACAGAUUGUCAGUGACUUUCUUUGGCAUGGAGUGAAGGUGUGUGUGUAGAUUUGCAGAAGAGGGUUUGGAAUGUAGAAAUCCCUAAGAAAGCUGGUAUCAGGGAACAAAUUGACCACGCUUAUUACAAUUUUUGCAUGUUUUGAAGCAAAGAGUGACUAAUAUAUAUAUUGCAAUAUAUGGGAAAUAUUCUCUGACAUGCCUUGAAACCGAACGGAAAGAGAGGAAAAUGCUUUUAUACAUUUAUGGCAUUUGUAGCAUCUCCAUCACACUUCUCCCACGCAUUUAAGUACAAAAUGAAGAUCCAAAGAUGAAGCAGAGUUCUCUCUUUCACCUCUCCUUUUCUUGCAUGAGUUUAUUUACCAAGCAUUUACAAUGUGCCAGUCACCGUGCUGGGGAUUCAGUAGGAACUACAUUCCUACAUUCAUAUAUUAAUAAAUAAUUGGGUUCAAUUUUACAAUGUUUAUGGAGCUUUGUGUCAGAGACUGAGGAGAUCUAGAGAUGAACAAGGAAGACAAAACUAAUAUGUAUUUACUACAGAAUAUUCUAUAGUUCAAGAGAAAUAACAGUGUAGUGUUACAGUUUACUGAACAUUCGCUAUGUAUUAACUGUGUUUUAUACAUUGUAUAAUUUAAUCCAUCUCCAAGCUCCCAAAAUGUCUUCCUAUUACCACUUUUACUGCCUACAAUUUAUUUUAUUCAGGGCAAUUGGAAUCAUCUUCCUGGAACAUAAAUUGAUUAUCAAACUCCGAUACUUUCAACCCUUCAAGAGCUUUUUGUUGUGCUUGAAACAAAAUACAAGCCUCAUAUUUUUUGAAGUUUUUUAAGAUCUAGUCAUUGUCUACCUCUCCAACCACAUUUCAUAUCCCCUCAUUUGCCAAACUCCACUGCUACUAGCUUCUAUAAUUUCUUAGAAUAAUCUAGUUUUUUCUCACCUUUUUCCUUAAGGAACUUUUGCAUUUCUUUUCUAUCUGAACCACUGGCUUCUUCUCAUCCUUCAAAUCAGAGCUUAAAUGUUACUUUUUAGAGAAGGCUCAUUGGCCUCUCUACCCAAAGUAGUUCUCCUUUCCCUGUUUCGUUUAUUCACAACACUAUCUACAUAAUCUGCAAUUCUUGUAUUUAUCUAUUUAUUAUCUGUUCCCCACUUAUAUACAUGUACCAUAAGAGUGAAAAAGCUUUGCUUGGUGAAUAGAUUAAAGCAUGUUCAUAUUUUGAAUAAAUUAAAACAUGAGCAACCCUAUGUGCUAGCUUUAAUUAUCCUAUUUUACUGAUGAGGUAAUUGAGGACUAGAGAGGAUAAGAAUCAUGUUUAGGGUCACAAACCUGAUAAGUGACAAUCGCAAUGUGAAUGCAGGACUUCAUGUUACAAACCUAAACUAAAAUGUCAUGCAAUCCAUGGAAGAGAUAGAUGCAAUUGGGUUGGGAGUAAAUGGGAAGCUACAUGAAGGAGAAAGGAUUUUGAAGGGUUGGUAGAAUUUUAACAUGCAGAGUUGGGAGAAAAGGAAGCAUUUUAAGUAGAGGAACUUGCAUGUGCAAAGGUUUGGAGGCUGUUAGUACACAGUGGACUUGGAGAACAAUGUGUGUAGUAAGUUGUUUGGAGGACAGAGCAUCAAGAGGGGAGAAUGGAGUAAAUAAGGCAGGAAAGAUAAGUGAGGACAAUUUUACUGAGCG
rnacentral:lncRNA from 1 species